rnacentral:rRNA from 1 species
GUAGGAUCCGAGCGUUAUCCGAAUUUACUGGGCGUAAAGCGCGCGUAGGCGGCCGGGUAAGUUGGACGUGAAAGCUCCUGGCUCAACUAGGAGAGGUCGUUCAAAACUGCCUGGCUAGAGGGCGACAGAGGGAGGUGGAAUUCCCGGUGUAGUGGUGAAAUGCGUAGAUAUCGGGAGGAACACCAGUGGCGAAGGCGGCCUCCUGGGUCGCCCCUGACGCUCAGACGCGAAAGCUAGGGGAGCAAACGGGAUUAGAUACCCCGGGUAGUCCUAGCUGUAAACGAUGUGAACUUGGCGUUGGUGGGGUCAAAUCCCAUCAGUGCCGUAGCUAACGCGAUAAGUUCACCGCCUGGGGACUACGGUCGCAAGAUUA